GGUGGCUCAAUAGUAGAGUGCUUGCCUUGCAUGCAUGAAACCCUGGGUUCGAUUCCUCAGCACCA
rnacentral:tRNA from 1 species